GAGAGUAUAGCUCAAGCAGUAGAGCACGUGCUUAGCAUUCAUGAGGUCCUGGGUUAAAUCCCUAGUACCUCCU
rnacentral:tRNA from 1 species